UACAGAGGGGGCAAGCGUUGUUCGGAAUUACUGGGCGUAAAGGGCGCGUAGGCGGCCUUCUAAGUCGAACGUGAAAUCCCUGGGCUCAACCCAGGAACUGCGUCCGAUACUGGAUGGCUUGAAUCCGGGAGAGGGAUGCAGAAUUCCAGGUGUAGCGGUGAAAUGCGUAGAUAUCUGGAGGAACAUCGGUGGCGAAGGCGGCAUCCUGGACCGGUAUUGACGCUGAGGCGCGAAAGCCAGGGGAGCAAACGGG
rnacentral:rRNA from 1 species